AGCAGAGCCUCCAGCCUGCGACAGGGACAACAGCACGAAACUUGUUCCCACUGAGGACAGGGAGGCAACGGAGCAGGCUUCGGGAGUUAUCCCAUGACCUGAGCAAAACUCAGUACUGCCUGCAGCAGGAGUGAGGCUAUGAACAAACCCAUUGUCCUCUGAUGAACCAGGGACCAGGCAGGGUUGACCAGCAUCUACUGAAAUUCACCCAGCAGUAGGGUUGAAUGAACCGGAGUCUGUAAGCACUUACCUUCCCUGGAAGGAUAUAACAAGACAGGGAAGAGUUAGUCACAAUCCCUUUUUAUCCCCGUUUUGUCUUACAUAGUCAAAGGUUUCCAUUUUUUGAAAAUGUUAAUUUUCCUGGCUUAGACUGUAAUAACAAAUAAAAAAAUAA